rnacentral:lncRNA from 1 species
GCCAGAUGGUAUCAGAGCGCCAGGUUGUCCGAGUUGCAACAAUAUUGAUCAGGCUUGAAGAAGAUGGAGAAGUCAGACUAAAUCAAGGGAUUGAUCAAUGCUCUCUUAUGCAAGGAGAAGUUGACUACCAUGAAAGAUGCUAAUGGAAGCCUAAUGCGAGGAGGAGCUCUAGGAAGAGGUGGAUCGGGUAUGUGAUGAGAGACUCAGGAGGAUGAUAGAUGAUGUUGCCAUUAGGCUACCCCGAGC